UAAUUGACGUCGCUGUUUCUGCAGCUGCCGCAGCAGCAGAGGCUGCCGCGGAUGCAGCAGCAGCGGCAUUAGCAGAGGCCGCAGCAGAAGCAGCAGCAGACGCAGCAGCAGACGCAGCGGCGGAGGCAGCAGCAGAUGCCGCAGCUGAA
rnacentral:sRNA from 1 species